rnacentral:tRNA from 1 species
ACGGCUGUAGCUCAGUGGAGCAGAGCGCGACUUUGCGAAAGUCGAGGUCACAGGUUCGAGUCCUGUCAGCUGUACCA